GGGGGCGACAUGGUUUCGACGUGGGUAUGAAACUUUAGGUGCAUGCCGAGGUGCAGAUCACCUCGUAAAACAAUCUGCAACCAACAUAGUUGCCAACGACGACAACUACGCUCUAGCGGCUUAAGCCCCGCUAGCCCUUGACCGAGGCCGUGCUUGUGCGCUCGGGGUCUGUGUAAGCAGGCCGCUCAAGGGUCGACUCUCACAAGAUCGCGACCGAGGCUCGCCUGGGGCCAAAGCGCUAAAACCCAACCGGGAUCGCCGUCUGCACGCCCUGCCGGUCGGGCAGCAGCCGGUUAAACACAAUAGAUCCGGCUAAGCAUGUAGAUCCGACAGCGUAGGACUCACGGACGCGGGUUCGAUUCCCGCCGCCUCCACCA
rnacentral:tmRNA from 1 species